UACGGAGGGUGCAAGCGUUAAUCGGAAUUACUGGGCGUAAAGGGCGCGUAGGCGGCUUGGUAAGUCGGUUGUGAAAUCCCCGGGCUCAACCUGGGAAUUGCAGUCGAGACUGCUUGGCUAGAGUGUGGGAGAGGGUGGUGGAAUUCCCGGUGUAGCGGUGAAAUGCGUAGAUAUCGGGAGGAACAUCAGUGGCGAAGGCGACCGCCUGGCCCAACACUGACGCUGAGGUGCGAAAGCGUGGGUAGCAAACAGG
rnacentral:rRNA from 1 species